CGCCGGAGACAUCACAAACUUGUAGUUGGGCUUGAUAUCGAGUGGCUGCCCUGUUUCAACCCCGACGAAAAUCACCCCGUCGCUCUUCUCCAGCUCUGUGUAGGACGGCGUUGCUUACUCUUCCAACUCCUCCACAGAGAUGGCGUUCCAGCAUAUCUCGCCGAGUUCCUUGUAGAUUCCAAUGUGAAGUUUGUUGGAGUCGGGGUUGAAGGAGACGCGGAGAAACUGCUCCGCGAUCAUAAGCUGUUUGUGUUGAAUACUGUGGAUUUGAACCGAUUGGCGUUGUCGGUUUACGGAGAGGAAGUGUAUGGGAAGAUGGGAUUGAAG
rnacentral:misc_RNA from 1 species